rnacentral:rRNA from 1 species
CGACUGGCGGCAUGCUUUACACAUGCAAGUCGAACGGCAGCACGGGUGCUUGCACUUGGUGGCGAGUGGCGGACGGGUGAGUAAUGCAUCGGAACGUGUCCUGAAGUGGGGGAUAACGCAUCGAAAGAUGUGCUAAUACCGCAUAUUCUCUGAGGAGGAAAGUAGGGGAUCGAAAGACCUUAUGCUUUUGGAGCGGCCGAUGUCUGAUUAGCUAGUUGGUAGGGUAAUGGCUUACCAAGGCGACGAUCAGUAGUUGGUCUGAGAGGACGACCAGCCACACUGGGACUGAGACACGGCCCAGACUCCUACGGGAGGCAGCAGUGGGGAAUUUUGGACAAUGGGCGCAAGCCUGAUCCAGCAAUGCCGCGUGAGUGAAGAAGGCCUUCGGGUUGUAAAGCUCUUUCAGUUGAGAAGAAAAAGUCGUGACUAAUAAUCAUGAUUCAUGACGGUAUCAACAGAAGAAGCACCGGCUAACUACGUG